AUUGAACGCUGGCGGCAUGCCUUACACAUGCAAGUCGAACGGCAGCACGGGAGCAAUCCUGGUGGCGAGUGGCGAACGGGUGAGUAAUAUAUCGGAACGUGCCCAGUCGUGGGGAUAACGUAGCGAAAGCUACGCUAAUACCGCAUACGAUCUAUGGAUGAAAGCGGGGGAUCGCAAGACCUCGCGCGAUUGGAGCGGCCGAUAUCAGAUUAGGUAGUUGGUGAGGUAAAGGCUCACCAAGCCGACGAUCUGUAGCUGGUCUGAGAGGACGACCAGCCACACUGGGACUGAGACACGGCCCAGACUCCUACGGGAGGCAGCAGUGGGGAAUUUUGGACAAAUGGGCGCAAGCCUGAUCCAGCAAUGCGCGUGCAGGAUGAAAGGCC
rnacentral:rRNA from 1 species